CCUACGGGAGGCAGCAGUGGGGAAUAUUGCACAAUGGGGGAAACCCUGAUGCAGCGACGCCGCGUGAGUGAAGAAGUAUCUCGGUACGUAAAGCUCUAUCAGCAGGGAAGAAAAUGACGGUACCUGACGAAGAAGCCCCGGCUAACUACGAGCCCGCAGCCGCGGUAAUACGGAGGGGGCAAGCGUUAUCCGGAUUUACUGGGGGUCAAGGGAGCGUAGAAGGCAGCACAAGUCUGGAGUGAAAGCCCGGGGCUUAACCCCGGAACUGCUGUUGAAACUUUGCGUCUUGACUGCAGUAGGGGUAAGCGGAAUUCCUAGUGUAGCGGUCACAUGCGUCUAUAUUAGGCGGACCCCC
rnacentral:rRNA from 1 species